rnacentral:sRNA from 1 species
GGCCUCUGAAACUAGCUCUGGGACCGGGGUCUGCGGCCGGCCCCUAGCUGGCCCCGUCUCCCAUCCCCAGAAGGGUAUUCACUGGGGGUUCUGAGCUUUGGCUACUCCAGUUUCCCACGACACGAUGUUCCCUUUCUACAGCUGCUGGAGGACUGGACUGCUACUACUACUACUCCUGGCUGUGGCAGUGAGAGAAUCCUGGCAGACAGAAGAAAAAACUUGCGACUUGGUAGGAGAAAAGGGUAAAGAGUCAGAGAAAGAGUUGGCUCUAGUGAAGAGGCUGAAACCACUGUUUAAUAAAAGCUUUGAGAGCACUGUGGGCCAGGGUUCAGAGACAUACAUCUACAUCUUCAGGGUGUGCCGGGAAGCUGGCAACCACACUUCUGGGGCAGGCCUGGUGCAAAUCAACAAAAGUAAUGGGAAGGAGACAGUGGUAGGGAGACUCAACGAGACUCACAUCUUCAACGGAAGUAAGAAAACUCCCCUUCCUACCAUUGAUGGACUAAUUGAUCCCAAAUCAAUCUCUCUGACAAUCCUGUAUGUCUUGGCCUUUUCUAGUGUCUUCAGCAUAUCAUACGUGUGGUUCGGCACACCUGAGACUGUAAUAUACCACAGGAUGCCUAAUUCUACAGCUCCUCUGUAAGCCACAGC